UUGUAUUACAUAGUCAGCCAAAACGGCCUCAUUUAAUGAGAUAAAUAAAACACUGUACAACUUUGACCACUUUUUUAUUUAUGAAUGAAACAGAAAGUAAGGAAAUUUGGCCAACAAAUGUUAAUUCAACAAAUAAUGUGCACUAUUUCUAGAUUUAAAUGUAUGAAGGGAAUAUCAGAACUUGACAGCUGUGAAAACGGCUCACAACUUCUGAACUACUGAAGCAUUAACCAUAUCUUUUCUUUGUUACCAGCUUCCAUCUGUUCCUGGAGGAAACCUACAGGACAAGGCCUGUUCCUGGUCCUAGCGGGGUUGACUGUGGUGCAAGAAGCAGAAAAAAGCAGCUCCAGAAAUAGGUCUGGUAUUAAAGGACGGCUGUUAUCUGCCUUGUCAGCGUCUCAGACACUGUUGUCCUGUUGAUGGGGAAAGGCGGGCAGGUCCAUUUCCCGGCUUGUUCCUCUCAGACCCGGUCCUCAGGUUGCUACGUUCCCGUUUCAGCCUUAUUGUCUCUAUUAUCAAUCUCGGAGGGCACGUUUAUCACUCUGUAUCUCUUGUACGAUUUUCCAUAGCGCAACACUGGAACCCCGCCCCUGAUACACCCCCGGCCGCUGGUUGGCCGGACACUAUUUCCUCAUCGUCAAAAUCACAUGUGGUUGACGCAUGUUUACAAACAUCGGUGAAAUCACAUGGUAAAAGGGCGCCGUUUUUACCGUAAACUACCUCCAUUUGACGCAGCUUCCACAUGUCGUGCAAGACUCUGAUAUUCUUUUUUUUAGAGUAGCCUAAACAUUUCUAUGUAUAAGGGCCCCAGCCUGUCGACAGUCACAUAGUGUAAUACAUUAGGAUAUUCUAAAGCAACCUAUAGGAACCUGUUCCAACCCGAGGAAUAAAAAGGUCUAAUAAGAAAUGAAAAAAUCCGAUAGGCCUACGGAAAAUGUGUACAUCUCAAUGCAUGUGCAUGUGUGCAUAAUAGCUGUGUGUAUUUGUAUACAGUAUGUGCAUGUUGUAAACAACUGUGUGUAGCCUACUUGUAUGUACCUGUAUAACAUAAUGUUCGUGUGGAUUAGAAACUGAAGUCCUUCUUCUUUAAUCAUGCCUUUUUAAAUUCAUUAAAAAGGAAACAUCCAACACGGAUAGAACAAUUGUUCUGAACUUUUUACAACCCAUAUCAAGCCAGAAGUCAUUGCUUUAUUUUAAAUAGGCUAGGUCAUUGCCCAAAAGGUUAAUUUUAUGCUAUGUAUAAUCUACUGUUGUCAAUUCUUACUUCUGAUCUCACUAUAUCCCCUUGUGAUUGAUAGUGUGUCUUCUUAAUAGACAUUGUCACAGCCAUAUUUGUAUUGUAUAUUCAUUAUGGCAAUGUGAUUACUUUUCUUGUAUAACAAGUGUUUUGUAAUCCGUAGAACCUGCAUCAAUUUGUGAGGUGACGAGACAAAAAAUAA